rnacentral:rRNA from 1 species
UACGGGGGGGGGCAAGCGUUGUUCGGAAUUACUGGGCGUAAAGGGUGCGUAGGCGGUCCGCUAAGUUGGAUGUGAAAACUCUGGGCUUAACCCAGAGCCUGCAUUCAAAACUGACGGGCUAGAGUUCUGGAGGGGGUAGCGGAAUUCCUGGUGUAGCGGUGAAAUGCGUAGAUAUGUGGAGGAAUGACCGGUGGCGAAGGCGGCCUCCUGGCUUAAUACUGACGCUGAGGUGCAAAAGCGUGGGGAUCAAACAGG